rfam:Homo sapiens chromosome 1, GRCh38 reference primary assembly.
UAGCUUAGCAGGCGACGUUGCGGGCCCUGGGCGCCAGGAGAGCUUCCCGGAGUCGACCUUCCUGCUGGCUGCUCUGUGACCGCUUCCCGGCUCUGCCCUCUUGGCCGAAGUGCCCGCUGCCGGGCGCGGGCCUCAGGUAACGGUGGU